rnacentral:pre_miRNA from 2 species
AACAAUAUCCUGGUGCUGAGUGAUGACACAGGCAACUCCAGCAUCAGUGAUUUUGUUGA